ACGCACGCUGGCGGCGUGCUUAACACAUGCCAGUCGAACGGUGAAGCGCCUUCCUUUUUGGUGGGUGUGGAUGAGUGGCGAACGGGUGAGUAACACGUGAGUAACCUGCCCCCUUCUUCUGGAUAACCGCAUGAAAGUGUGGCUAAUACGGGAUAUUCUGGGUCUGUCGCAUGAUGGGUCUGGGAAAGAUAUUGUUUCGGUGGGGGAUGGGCUCGCGGCCUAUCAGCUUGUUGGUGGGGUGAUGGCCUACCAAGGCGGUGACGGGUAGCCGGCCUGAGAGGGUGGACGGUCACACUGGGACUGAGACACGGCCCAGACUCCUACGGGAGGCAGCAGUGGGGAAUAUUGCACAAUGGGCGCAAGCCUGAUGCAGCGACGCCGCGUGAGGGAUGGAGGCCUGCGGGUUGUGAACCUCUUUCGCCAGUGAAGCAGGCCUGCCUCGUUUGUGGGUGGGUUGACGGUAGCUGGAGAAGAAGCGCCGGCUAACUACGUG
rnacentral:rRNA from 1 species